rnacentral:misc_RNA from 1 species
UCUCCGUUGGUGAACCAGCGGAGGGAUCAUUACAGAGUUGCAAAACUCCCAACCAUUGUGAACCUACCUCACCGUUGCUUCGGCGGGUGGCCCUCUCCGGGGCCACGCCGGCCCCCCCGGGGUCGGCAACCCGUCAGAGGACCGAAACUCUUAGUAACUACUGGCCUCUCUGAGUAACUUAUACAAUAAGUCAAAACUUUCAACAACGGAUCUCUUGGUUCUG